rnacentral:rRNA from 1 species
UACGGGGGGGGCAAGCGUUGUUCGGAAUUACUGGGCGUAAAGGGCUCGUAGGUGGCCAACUAAGUCAGACGUGAAAUCCCUCGGCUUAACCGGGGAACUGCGUCUGAUACUGGAUGGCUUGAGUUUGGGAGAGGGAUGCGGAAUUCCAGGUGUAGCGGUGAAAUGCGUAGAUAUCUGGAGGAACACCGGUGGCGAAGGCGGCAUCCUGGACCAAUUCUGACACUGAGGAGCGAAAGCCAGGGGAGCAAACGGG